rnacentral:rRNA from 1 species
GACUUGACCUCAAAUC